CCUACGGGUGGCUGCAGUGGGGAAUAUUGGACAAUGGGGGGAACCCUGAUCCAGCCAUGCCGCGUGUGUGAAGAAGGCCCUCGGGUUGUAAAGCACUUUCAGUGAGGAAGAACGCCUGGUGGUUAAUACCCAUCAGGAAAGACAUCACUCACAGAAGAAGCACCGGCUAACUCCGUGCCAGCAGCCGCGGUAAUACGGAGGGUGCGAGCGUUAAUCGGAAUUACUGGGCGUAAAGCGCGCGUAGGUGGCUUGAUAAGCCGGUUGUGAAAGCCCCGGGCUCAACCUGUGAACGGCAUCCGGAACUGUCAAGCUAGAGUGCAGGAGAGGAAGGUAGAAUUCCCGGUGUAGCGGUGAAAUGCGUAGAGAUCGGGAGGAAUACCAGUGGCGAAGGCGGCCUUCUGGACUGACACUGACACUGAGGUGCGAAAGCGUGGGUAGCAAACAGGAUUAGAUACCCUUGUAGUC
rnacentral:rRNA from 1 species